rnacentral:lncRNA from 13 species
AGUUAAGCUCUGAGGGAAUGGAGACAAUUAAGUGUGGAGGAAGAGGCUCACGUCAUGUCAUGUUUCCUCUUACACGUGGAUUCUAUUCAUUCAUCGUUUACUGAGCUCUGUGUCAGGCACUGUGCUAGAUGCCGGGGCUCCUGCGUAGAAGACAGGACCCAAAUAUGGCUGCUUCAGCUGGCCCAGGCUUUCCAGAAAUGUGAGGACAGUGAUCUCCCGACUCUUCCCCUGCAGCCUGUGGCAAAAACACAAAGUACACUUGAGACCAGGAAGUCCAAGGAGCCUUGCUCAUUCCUGGAAUAUACUAGGAAAAAUACAGGGACAUGGAUGAAUCUGUAGAACAUCAUUCUCAGCAAACGGACACAAGAACAGAAAAUGAAAUACUGCAUGUUCUCACUCAUAGGCAGGUGAUAAACAAUGAGAACACAUGGACACAGGGAGGGGAGCACUGCACACUGGGGUCUAUUUGGGGGAAUAAGGGAGGGACAGCAGCAGGGGGGAGUUGGGGAGGGAUAGCAUGAGGAGAAAUGGCAGAUGUGGGUGAAGGGGAGGAAGGCAGAAAACCACACUGUCACGUGUGUACCUAUGCAACUAUCUUGCAUGUUCUGCACAUGUACCCCAAAACCUAAAAUGCAAUAAAAAAAGAAAUUAAAAUAAAUAAAUAAA